CAGGAAUCUAGGAAACUUCACCUGCACUGUCCAGUAUCCAGCUCUUACAGUGAUUUUUGAAGUCUCACGGUGAUAUUGAUGUGAAAACGGACUCAAUGAAUAAACUUCAUGAACAUCAGUAAAGUGUUGGCCAUCAUUCGGGCGUGGUCCGCUACAGGAUAUUACCACUUGUAUUCUACAAAUGCAUUAGCAUUAUUCUGAAGUGACAACAAUAAAACCUUACUUCUGAUUAAAA